rnacentral:rRNA from 1 species
GACGAACGCUGCGGCCGUGCCUAAUACAUGCAAGUAGAACGCUGAGUUUUGGUGUUUACACUAGACUGAUGAGUUGCGAACGGGUGAGUAACGCGUAGGUACCCUGCCUCAUAGCGGGGGAUAACUAUUGGAAACGAUAGCUAAUACCGCAUAAGAGUAAUUAACACAUGUUAGUUAUUUAAAAGGAGCAAUUGCUUCACUGUGAGAUGGACCUGCGUUGUAUUAGCUAGUUGGUGAGGUAAAGGCUCACCAAGGCGACGAUACAAAGCCGACCUGAGAGGGUGAUCGGCCACACUGGGACUGAGACACGGCCCAGACUCCUACGGGAGGCAGCAGUAGGGAAUCUUCGGCAAUGGACGGAAGUCUGACCGAGCAACGCCGCGUGAGUGAAGAAGGUUUUCGGAUCGUAAAGCUCUGUUGUUAGAGAAGAACGUUGGUAGGAGUGGAAAAUCUACCAAGUGACGGUAACUAACCAGAAAGGGACGGCUAACUACGUGCCAGCAGCCGCGGUAAUACGUAGGUCCCGAGCGUUGUCCGGAUUUAUUGGGCGUAAAGCGAGCGCAGGCGGUUCUUUAAGUCUGAAGUUAAAGGCAGUGGCUUAACCAUUGUACGCUUUGGAAACUGGAGGACUUGAGUGCAGAAGGGGAGAGUGGAAUUCCAUGUGUAGCGGUGAAAUGCGUAGAUAUAUGGAGGAACACCGGUGGCGAAAGCGGCUCUCUGGUCUGUAACUGACGCUGAGGCUCGAAAGCGUGGGGAGCAAACAGGAUUAGAUACCCUGGUAGUCCACGCCGUAAACGAUGAGUGCUAGGUGUUAGGCCCUUUCCGGGGCUUAGUGCCGCAUCUAUCGCAUUAA